rnacentral:rRNA from 1 species
CCUACGGGUGGCUGCAGUGGGGAAUAUUGGACAAUGGGCGAAAGCCUGAUCCAGCCAUGCCGCGUGUGUGAAGAAGGCCUUCGGGUUGUAAAGCACUUUCAGUGGGGAAGAAAGCCUUGGGGCUAAUACCCUCGAGGAAGGACAUCACCCACAGAAGAAGCACCGGCUAACUCCGUGCCAGCAGCCGCGGUAAUACGGAGGGUGCGAGCGUUAAUCGGAAUUACUGGGCGUAAAGCGCGCGUAGGCGGUCUGAUAAGCCGGUUGUGAAAGCCCCGGGCUCAACCUGGAACGGCAUCCGGAACUGUCAGGCUAGAGUGCAGGAGAGGAAGGUAGAAUUCCCGGUGUAGCGGUGAAAUGCGUAGAGAUCGGGAGGAAUACCAGUGGCGAAGGCGGCCUUCUGGACUGACACUGACGCUGAGGUGCGAAAGCGUGGGUAGCAAACAGGAUUAGAUACCCGGUAGUC